AAUUAUUAUACCUUUAUAAUUUCUAUAUAUAUUACUUGAAUCAUAUAUAUAUAUAUAUAUUUGUGUGUGUGUGUGUCUGAGUUUGUGUGAACACUUGCGUAACAUAUAAGAGACGAAAAGUUGUCCUUCAAAACAAAAAUGGCUGUUUCAAAAUAUUUUCUUGUUCUCGUAUUGUUCUUCUUCUUAUUCUCAUGUGCUAUAUUUUUCGUGGAGGCGCAAAAUUGUCAACUCACUAUUCCUAUCAGCGGAGAUUGCUUGGAUGAUUAUUGCACCCAAAUGUGUACUGAAAAGCUUCUCAAAAGAGUUCUUGGUAGCUGCAUUGUUGACAAACAUGAGUGUUGUUGUUUGCCUUAAACUUUUUUGGUCAAUCACUUUAUUGGAUUCCUGUUCUAAUUAAUUAAUUAAAUAAAUCUGUCUUAGUAACGAUUUAUAUGUA